UAUCUCUCCGUACGGGGAAGGAUGAGAAGCUUCGACUAAGGUUCGAUUCGAGCGCAGCGAGAAAGCGUUGCCGCAGGCAACGACCCGAAGGGUGAGGAGCGGAGCGACAAAUAAUCCUUCCCCCACCACCA
rnacentral:sRNA from 1 species